AUGGGAACGCGAAGAACCUUACCUAGACUUGACAUCUCCUGAAUAGUGUAGAGAUACAUGAAGCCCUUCGGGGCAGGAAGACAGGUGGUGCAUGGUUGUCGUCAGCUCGUGUCGUGAGAUGUUGGGUUAAGUCCCGCAACGAGCGCAACCCUUGUCAUUAGUUGCUACCAUUAAGUUGAGCACUCUAAAGAGACUGCCCGGGUUAACCGGGAGGAAGGUGGGGAUGACGUCAAAUCAUCAUGCCCCUUAUGUCUAGGGCCACACACGUGCUACAAUGGUGAGUACAACGAGAUGCGAACCCGCGAGGGGGAGCUAAACUCAAAAACUCAUCUCAGUUCGGAUUGCAGGCUGCAACUCGCCUGCAUGAAGCUGGAGUUGCUAGUAAUCGCGAAUCAGAAUGUCGCGGUGAAUACGUUCCCGGGUCUUGUACACACCGGGUCUUGUACACAC
rnacentral:rRNA from 1 species